UCUCCGUUGGUGAACCAGCGGAGGGAUCAUUACAAGAGUUGCAAAACUCCCUAAACACUUGUGAACCUACCCGUACUGUUGCUUCGGCGGGCGGCCCCUGGGAGGGGCCGUAGCCCUCGCGGGCGCCCGCCGGAGGACCAAAACGCUAUGUUUUAUAACGUCUCUCUGAGCAAAACUAAAUAAGUCAAAACUUUCAACAACGGAUCUCUUGGUUCUGGCAUCGAUGAAGAACGCAGC
rnacentral:misc_RNA from 1 species